rnacentral:ribozyme from 1 species
ACAGAAACGAGAUCCAAAGAGUAAAAAAAAAAAUGCAGAAAAGGUCCGCUUUUUCUUCCUGUGAUCUGUCUUUUUCUCUUUUGUUUUCUACGGCUCCUAUCCCCUCUCUUUUGCGAG